rnacentral:rRNA from 1 species
AUUGAACGCUGGCGGCAGGCUUAACACAUGCAAGUCGAGCGGAGAUGAGGUGCUUGCACCUUAUCUUAGCGGCGGACGGGUGAGUAAUGCUUAGGAAUCUGCCUAUUAGUGGGGGACAACAUUCCGAAAGGAAUGCUAAUACCGCAUACGUCCUACGGAAGAAAGCAGGGGAUCUUCGGACCUUGCGCUAAUAGAUGAGCCUAAGUCGGAUUAGCUAGUUGGUGGGGUAAAGGCCUACCAAGGCGACGAUCUGUAGCGGGUCUGAGAGGAUGAUCCGCCACACUGGGACUGGAACACGGCCCAGACUCCUACGGGAGGCAGCAGUGGGGAAUACUGGACAAUGGGGGGAACCCUGAUCCAGCCAUGCCGCGUGUGUGAAGAAGGCCUUAUGGUUGUAAAGCACUUUAAGCGAGGAGGAGGCUACUGAGACUAAUACUCUUGGAUAGUGGACGUUACUCGCAGAAUAAGCACCGGCUAACUCUGUGCCAGCCGCCGCUGUAAAAC